GCUUACGGCCAUACCACCUGAACACGCCCGAUCUCGUCCAUCUCGGAAGCUAAGCAGGGUCGGGCCUGGUUAGUACUUGGAUGGGAGACCGCCUGGGAAUACCAGGUGCUGUAAGCU
rnacentral:rRNA from 1 species